rnacentral:rRNA from 1 species
ACACGUGCUACAAUGGCGCAUACAAAGAGAAGCGAACCUCGCGAGAGCAAGCGGACCUCAUAAAGUGCGUCGUAGUCCGGAUUGGAGUCUGCAACUCGACUCCAUGAAGUCGGAAUCGCUAGUAAUCGUGGAUCAGAAUGCCACGGUGAAUACGUUCCCGGGCCUU